rnacentral:rRNA from 1 species
UACGUAGGGUGCGAGCGUUGUCCGGAAUUAUUGGGCGUAAAGAGCUUGUAGGCGGUCUGUCGCGUCUGCUGUGAAAAUCCGGGGCUCAACCCCGGACUUGCAGUGGGUACGGGCAGACUAGAGUGUGGUAGGGGAGACUGGAAUUCCUGGUGUAGCGGUGAAAUGCGCAGAUAGUCAGGAGGAACACCGGUGGCGAAGGCGGAUCUCUGGGCCUUACCUGACGCUGGAGGCGCGAAAAGCUAGGGGAGCGAACAGG